CAUACGGGCGGCAGCAGUGGGGGAUAUUGCACAAUGGGGGAAACCCUGAUGCAGCGACGCCGCGUGGGUGAAGAAGUAUUUCGGUAUGUAAAGCCCUAUCAGCAGGGAAGAAAGAAGACGGUACCUGACUAAGAAGCCCCGGCUAACUACGUGCCAGCAGCCGCGGUAAUACGUAGGGGGCAAGCGUUAUCCGGAUUUACUGGGUGUAAAGGGAGCGCAGGCGGCACGGCAAGCCUGAUGUGAAAGCCCGCGGCCCAACCGCGGGACUGCAUUGGGAACUACCGGGCUGGAGUGCCGGAGAGGUAGGCGGAAUUCCUAGUGUAGCGGUGAAAUGCGUAGAUAUUAGGAGGAACACCAGUGGCGAAGGCGGCCUACUGGACGGUGACUGACGCUGAGGCUCGAAAGCGUGGGGAGCAAACAGGAUUAGAUACCCUAGUAGUC
rnacentral:rRNA from 1 species